UACGUAGGGUGCAAGCGUUAAUCGGAAUUACUGGGCGUAAAGCGUGCGCAGGCGGUUGAUGCAAGACCAGAUGUCGAAAUCCCCGGGCUUAACCUGGGAAUGGCAUUGGUGACUGCACGGCUAGAGUGUGUCAGAGGGGGGUAGAAUUCCACGUGUAGCAGUGAAAUGCGUAGAGAUGUGGAGGAAUACCGAUGGCGAAGGCAGCCCCCUGGGAUAACACUGACGCUCAUGCACGAAAGCGUGGGGAGCAAACAGG
rnacentral:rRNA from 1 species